AGUGGUUUCGGCCAGGAUGAGAAGUCCCAAGGUCGCGGAGACCUUAGGGCUCCUCUGUAAACAGCAUCCCCUCUCCUCUGUAAACAGCGUCCCGACAUCACUCCAAAUCCGACAUCUAAAGGAUUGUAUAUUUGCAUAUGUCGUAGAGCUGUAUUUGGUCUUACCUUCAACUUCCAGUGUUAUUUCAUUGCGACGUGCAAAAGGGAGUGUAAACAGGGGGUUAAACUGCAGAAGAACAGAGCAGGUGAAAUCCACAAUCAGAACUCCCCCAUGAAUUCAUUCACUCCUACAAAAACAUGUUAAUGAAAUUUUACCUGUAUAUUUCAAAAAAAGAAAAGGAAGCUUCUACCUGUGCAACUUCUACUAAUGCAUCCUCUUUCACUUGGAAUUGAGUAUCGCUUCUUGGAGCUUCAAGCAAUUUG
rnacentral:lncRNA from 1 species